CCCUGCCAUUUGUACACACCGCCCGUCGCUCCUACCGAUUGAACGGUCCGGCGAGAACUCCGGAUGGUCGGCACGCAGGGGUCAAACCCUGUGUCCGCGCCAGAAGCUGUUCGAACCUUACCGUUUAGAGGAAGGAGAAGUCGUAACAAGGUA
rnacentral:rRNA from 1 species